CCUACGGGAGGCAGCAGUGGGGAAUNUUGGNCAAUGGGCGCAAGCCUGAUCCAGCCAUGCCGCGUGGGUGAAGAAGGCCUUCGGGUUGUAAAGCCCUUUUGUUGGGAAAGAAAAGCAGUCGGUUAAUACCCGAUUGUUCUGACGGUNCCCANAGAAUAAGCACCGGCUNACUUCAUGCCAGCAGCCGCGGUAAU
rnacentral:rRNA from 1 species